rnacentral:lncRNA from 1 species
GGAGGGGUGAAUUAGGCAACUUAAAAACUUAACCUAUGGUUUCCACUACUUUGCAUCAAAACAUAAACUAGAUCAUGGUAUCUAUAUGUGCAACUACGGUUGAUCUAGUGUGAAACUCUCAUCCCAAAAUAAGUUUUGCAACCUAUAGCCAAUCCUAUCAAGACUACUCUAGGAAAGUAAAGGCACACAAGUUGCAAAUAUGAAAUGUGAAAACGUAAGGAGGGGAUGAAAGGAAGCAAAUUCUUGACACAAGGAUUUAUCCUGUGGUAUCAGUUGGCACUAAGCCACCACCAGUCCAUGUUGCUGAAGC